rnacentral:rRNA from 1 species
ACUCCUGCGGGAGGCAGCAGUGGGGAAUUUUGGACAAUGGGCGAAAGCCUGAUCCAGCAAUGCCGCGUGUGUGAAGAAGGCCUUCGGGUUGUAAAGCACUUUUGUCCGGAAAGAAAUCCUUGGCUCUAAUACAGUCGGGGGAUGACGGUACCGGAAGAAUAAGCACCGGCUAACUACGUGCCAGCAGCCGCGGUAAUACGUAGGGUGCGAGCGUUAAUCGGAAUUACUGGGCGUAAAGCGUGCGCAGGCGGUUUGCUAAGACCGAUGUGAAAUCCCCGGGCUCAACCUGGGAACUGCAUUGGUGACUGGCAGGCUAGAGUAUGGCAGAGGGGGGUAGAAUUCCACGUGUAGCAGUGAAAUGCGUAGAGAUGUGGAGGAAUACCGAUGGCGAAGGCAGCCCCCUGGGCCAAUACUGACGCUCAUGCACGAAAGCGUGGGGAGCAAACAGGAUUAGAUACCCGAGUAGUCCCAUGAU